CCUCAAGAGCACUGGGUGACAAAGUUAUGGAGAAGCGCCUGCAGGAGGCCCAGCUGUACAAGGAGGAAAGGAACCAAUGUUACCGGGAAGGGAAGUGCCGAGAUGCUGUGUGUGGGUACCAUCGAGCUCUGCAGCAGCUGCGGGGUCUGGAUCCAAGUCUGCCCUCCCCGAUACCUAAUCUGGGACCUCAGGGCCCGGCCCUCACACCUGAACAGGAAAACGUACUGCACACCACCCAGACAGACUGCUACAACAACUUAGCUGCCUGUCUUCUUCAGAUGGAGCCAGUAAACUAUGAACGGGUGAAAGAAUACAGUCAGAAGGUCCUGGAACGACAGCCUGAUAAUGCCAAGGCCCUGUAUCGGGCUGGGGUGGCCUCUUUCCACCUGCAGAACUAUGACCAGGCUCGGCACUACCUCAUGGCUGCUGUCAAUAGGCAGCCAAAAGACGCCAGUGUCCGGCGGUACCUUCAGCUAAUGCAGUCAGAACUCAGCAGCUACCAUCGGAAAGAGAAGCAGCUCUACCUGGGCAUGUUUGCUUAACAAAGAAGAAAGAUACCCCUCCACUGGAACUUAGGUGAACCAUUAAAGACCCAUCAAGGGGAAACCUGAGCCUCAGCAAGAGAAAUUAACCCCAUACCUCUGACAGAGGUGAACUUCUAUUUUGUUUCUAGUUCUGCACAAACUCUUUAUUGCUUACAUAGCCUGUGUCUGUUUUUGUUUCUCCAUCUAUGUAUUUAUACGGCUUUUAAUAUGUGGUAUUAUUAGGGACAUUUGCCUUGAGAAAUACAACCAGAAAACAU